rnacentral:tRNA from 1 species
GCCAAUGUAGCUUAAACCAAAGCAUAACACUGAAGAUGUUAAGAUGUACCCCGAGAAGGUUCCAUAGGCA